CCCAAGAGGAAUGGGAGGUGGUGGAGGAGGUGUGCAGAGUCCUGUUGAUGCUCUGACCCAAGAGGAAUGGGAGGUGGUGGAGGAGGUGUGCAGAGUCCUGUUGAUGCUCUGACCCAAGAGGAAUGGGAGGUGGUGGAGGAGGUGUGCAGAGUCCUGGAACCCUUUGAGCAGGUCACUGUGGAGUUCAGUGGAGAGAGCUAUGUGACAGCCUCACAAAUGAUACUCCUGUGUCGGGGUCUGCAGUGAAUCACAGCCAGCCGCCAGAGAGAAGCAAAUGUAACCACAGGACAUGUGACAGAGUUGAUGGACACCUUAUGUUCAUCAAUGGACAGAAAGUUCCACAGAAUGGAAUAUAAUCACAUGCUAUCAGAAACCGCUGCACUUGACCCCGGUGUAAGAAGUUAGCCUUCAGUGAUGCCAGAGUGAUUGAUGAGGCUCUUCAAAGAAUAACCUCAGCAGCAGGGAGGGACAGCCCCAGCAGUCAGCUGGCUCAGGCACCAGGGAAACAGGAGGAAGAGAGAUUAGAUGGAGCAGAAGCACCAGCAGUCAGCUGGCUCAGCCACCAGGGAAACAGGAGGAAGAGGGAGCAGAUGGAGAAGAAGCACCAGCAGUAGUGCCACAAACAUCUGCUGUUUGGAUGCUGUUUGACAAGAGAGCAACUGGGGAUGCAACACGAAGGAAUCCCUCAGCAGAUGGAGGUCCGGUCCUAUUUGGAGGAGCCACUCCUCCAAUGAUCUGCAGAUCCUCUGAGCUGGUGGAAGAACAAGGCCUCUGUCUACCCACAGCUUACUAAAGUCAUGACAGGGAGACUCUGCAUAGUGGCCACAUCUGUUCCCUCUGAGAGGGUCUUCUCGAAAACGGGACAAAUAAUUACUGAGAGAAGAAAGCUCAUCAGCCCCUCGAAAGUGAGGCAGCUUGCAUUUCUGAAUGCAAAUCUCUCAUAAAAGCAAAAUAUGGUCAGCAUUGCUGUGGGCUGCUAGUUUAAUACAUGGCAACAAAGAAGAGAAAGAAAAGAGGGACCAGUUUAAUGUUUUCAGUGGGAUGCUGCAGUUUUUCACAUUGUUAUUUAUUUUUCUUUGAUAUGGUGCAAUAUUCUAUUAUACUGUUCAGAUUGUAUUUGUUUUGAAUUGUUACAUUUAUAUGCACUUUGUUUAUAUACAUUAAAAAGUUGUACUUUAAA